GUGUCAGCCGCCGCGGUAAUACGUAGGUGGCAAGCGUUGUCCGGAUUUACUGGGCGUAAAGGGAGCGUAGGCGGAUACUUAAGUGGGAUGUGAAAUACCCGGGCUCAACCCGGGUGCUGCAUUCCAAACUGGGUAUCUAGAGUGCAGGAGAGGAAAGUGGAAUUCCUAGUGUAGCGGUGAAAUGCGUAGAGAUUAGGAAGAACACCAGUGGCGAAGGCGACUUUCUGGACUGUAACUGACGCUGAGGCUCGAAAGCGUGGGGAGCAAACAGGAUUAGAUACCCUGGUAGUCCACGCCGUAAACGAUGGAUACUAGGUGUGGGAGGUACCAACCUUCCGUGCCGCCGUUAACACAAUAAGUAUCCCGCCUGGGGAGUACGGUCGCAAGAUUAAA
rnacentral:rRNA from 1 species